UACGUAGGGGGCUAGCGUUAUCCGGAAUUACUGGGCGUAAAGGGUGCGUAGGUGGUUUCUUAAGUCAGAGGUGAAAGGCUACGGCUCAACCGUAGUAAGCCUUUGAAACUGGGAAACUUGAGUGCAGGAGAGGAGAGUGGAAUUCCUAGUGUAGCGGUGAAAUGCGUAGAUAUUAGGAGGAACACCAGUUGCGAAGGCGGCUCUCUGGACUGUAACUGACACUGAGGCACGAAAGCGUGGGGAGCAAACAGGAUUAGAUACCCCAGUAGUCCCUGAG
rnacentral:rRNA from 1 species